rnacentral:tRNA from 1 species
ACCCUUUUAGUAUAAAUAAAUAUAUUUGACUUCCAAUCAAAAGAUCUUUAAUAAUAAUGAAAGAGUA